AAAACUUGUAUUAUAUUAUAAUACAUCUCCUGAAUGCAACUCAGACACUUUAAUUAAGCUAAAGCCUU
rnacentral:tRNA from 1 species